GACACCUACGGGGGGCAGCAGUGAGGAAUAUUGGUCAAUGGGCGAGAGCCUGAACCAGCCAAGUCGCGUGAGGGAAGACGGUCCUAUGGGUUGUAAACCUCUUUUGCCGGGGAGCAAAAAGCGGUACGUGUACCGCAUCGAGAGUACCCGGAGAAAAAGCAUCGGCUAACUCCGUGCCAGCAGCCGCGGUAAUACGUAGGUGGCGAGCGUUAUCCGGAAUGAUUGGGCGUAAAGGGUGCGUAGGCGGCCUGCUAAGUCUGGAGUGAAAGGUACCGGCUCAACCGGUACAGGCUCUGGAAAAUGGG
rnacentral:rRNA from 1 species